ACAUAUAAAACCCCCUUUUUAUGCCAGAUUUUCAUUCCUCCAAACCCUAGCCCCUCUUAUCUCCCUCUCGUUUGACCCUAGCACUCCCCCUUAAGCGUCGAUCUGCGUCUAUCAGCAGAGACAAACAGAUUCGGGCUUCAAAGGACGACUAUUUCGGCCGUGGGAUCCCUUCUAUACUCCGAUUUCAACGAAGCUGAUGGAACCCGUGGCACUUUCGCAAGGUACGGAGUACGGGGCACGAGCGUGGCUGCUGGAGGGUACGGAGGCUGGGGCUGCUGUCUGGUUGUGGCGCGUCUGCUGCUAGGGCUAGGGUUUGGCAAAAUUUGUUUAGUAUUUGGGCCGUUUGGGAUCAUUUUGGGUAUUGGGUUAGUCUAUGGAUCAUGGGAUUGGUUUUGUAAAUGGGCUAUGGGCCAUUGUAGUAAUUUUUGGGACUGAUGGAUUGUAAAAGGACAUUUAAUUUUUAUUUUUUUAUUGUGUUUUAGUUCUUCAUUGGGCCCGGACAAAUUGGUCUGUUUACAAAUCUGAUUGAGAUUUGAUAAUUGUUAGUAUCAUAUUAUGAUUAUUCAUUUUUUCAAUUUAAACUAAUAUUCUCUUUUAUGUAGAUUUGGCUCGUUGUAUAAAAUUGCAUUGUUUUAUUAGAUGAUUGUUUGGUACAUAUUAAAAUAUGAGUACAGAAAUAUAAUUCUUCAAAUAUAUUGAAAGAUUUGGGAAAAAAUUAAAUAUACUCAUAUUCAAGAUGUAUUCAAAUCCAACAUUCAUUCGAAUCUUUGUAACAUAAACCUGUUGUGCUUUAGACUACAAACAACAAUCCUUACAGUGUUUUGUUGUUAGCCUUUUUAACUCAAAUGAUAUUACUGACAUGAUACUAACUCAAAUUGCUAUUUUCAUUUUUCCUGGUAAAAAUCUUAACUUUUGGCUAACUUCUUCGAUUAAUCAUGACACUCAAGGUCUUGCAAAGAUAAAAAAUUUAUGUACUUUUAAUUUCUCAGCAAUUAUGACUUGAUCACAAUAUAUAUAUAUAUAUAUAUGCACGCGCAUAGUUUAUGAAUUAGUUGGCAAUUAAACUAUCUGAAUUUUUAUUUUUUAUUUUUGUAUAACUUUGGUGAUUAAGGGAGAAUAAUGGGUGAUAACUCAUUGGAUUGGGCUAGUUUACUUGGUGGAAUACCAGACUCUGAUGAAUUGAUUUUAUUGUUAAUGAAUGAUGUCAAAGUUGAGAAACCAGAAGAUGAACAGCCGCAAGAAAGCAGCAAAUUCCUAAUGCAACCUACAACAGUGUACCACAGCAGCAGGAAAUAGGGAUUCAUAAUGUCGUGAAAGAAACUGGAUCUUCUUCUUGUCGUCUAAAUGAUCAGAAUAAGAUUAUCAGAAAUGGAGGGUGUUUGAUUAAUCCAUUAGGGUUCCCAUAUAGGUCUCGAAUGCAGGUUUUGGCUGCUGACGCACCUUCAGGAAGUGGAGAGUUGCUCAUAAUGAAUGAUUUACCUGUUUACAAGAGAGGGAGGAACAAAAUACAAGAAGCCAUUGAAGAGGCUGAGCAAAAGAAGAGGAAGAAUAAGAUCAAAAAUAGAAUUUCAGCUGCAAAAUCUCGAGCCAGGUCUCAGAUGUAACUGUUUUCCUAUACUAAGGCUGCGAUCUUGUUUUGAGGAGCAUACAAGAUUUCUGGAAGAAAAAGUGGAGCAAUUGAGAAAUGAGAAUGCACAUUUAAAGAAAUUACUUUCCCUGGAAGCUUCAGCAGCU